UGGGGGAGCCAUGAGAUAAGAGCA
rnacentral:miRNA from 1 species